rnacentral:rRNA from 1 species
AUUGAACGCUGGCGGCAUGCUUUACACAUGCAAGUCGAGCGGCAGCGCGGGUGCAACCCUGGCGGCGAGCGGCGAACGGGUAAGUAAUGCAUCGGAACUUAUCCUCCAGUGGGGGAUAACCCAGCGAAAGUUGGGCUAAUACCGCAUGAGCUCUGAGGAGGAAAGCGUGGGACCUGCGAGGUCCUCGCGCUGGAGGAGCGGCCGAUGUCCGAUUAGCUGGUUGUUGGGGUAAUGGCUUACCAAGGCGGCGAUCGGUAGCUGGUCGGAGAGGAUGAUGAGCCACAAUAGGAGGGAGACACGGCCCAGACUCCUACGGGAGGCAGCAGUGGGGAAGUUUGGAGCAUGGGGGGAACCCUGAUCCAGCCAUGCCGCGGGAGUGAAGAAGGCCUUCGUGUUGUAAAGCUCUUUCGGACGGAACGAAAUGGGCGGGACUAAUACUCCUGUCGGAUGACGGUACCGUAAGAAGAAGCACCGGCUAACUACGUG